GCAUCACGCGGAGAUGGCAUUCCUCCUCUAACCGCCGUCGUUUUAUAUGCGGCUGAUGAUGCCUACAGGUCC
rnacentral:ncRNA from 2 species